rnacentral:misc_RNA from 1 species
UCCGAGUUGACCCCGGCAGUCUCCUAUGAGUUCCCACCAUUACGUGCUGGCAACAUAGAACGAGGGUUGCGCUCGUUGCGGGACUUAACCCAACAUCUCACGACACGAGCUGACGACAACCAUGCACCACCUGUAUACCGACCUUGCGGGGAGACUGUUUCCAGCCUUUUCCGGUAUAUGUCAAGCCUUGGUAAGGUUCUUCGCGUUGCAUCGAAUUAAUCCGCAUGCUCCGCCGCUUGUGCGGGCCCCCGUCAAUUCCUUUGAGUUUUAGCCUUGCGGCCGUACUCCCCAGGCGGGGAACUUAAUGCGUUAGCUGCGACACAGAAACCGUGGAAUGGUCCCUACAUCCAGUUCGCAUAGUUUAGGGCGUGGACUAC